ACGCUCGACACCUACGGGAAGGCAGCAGUGGGGAAUAUUGCACAAUGGGGGAAACCCUGAUGCAGCGACGCCGCGUGAGCGAAGAAGUAUUUCGGUAUGUAAAGCUCUAUCAGCAGGGAAGAAAAUGACGGUACCUGACUAAGAAGCCCCGGCUAACUACGUGCCAUCAGCCGCGGUAAUCUGAGCGGGCUGGCAAGGC
rnacentral:rRNA from 1 species